rnacentral:rRNA from 1 species
AGGAUUGGGCGGCGGCUACACAUGCAGUCGAGCGGGGAAGGGUAGCUUGCUACCUGACCUAGCGGCGGACGGGUGAGUAAUGCUUAGGAAUCUGCCUAUUAGUGGGGGACAACAUUCCGAAAGGAAUGCUAAUACCGCAUGCGCCCUACGGGGGAAAGCAGGGGAUCUUCGGACCUUGCGCUAAUAGAUGAGCCUAAGUCAGAUUAGCUAGUUGGUGGGGUAAAGGCCUACCAAGGCGACGAUCUGUAGCGGGUCUGAGAGGGUGAUCCGCCACACUGGGACUGAGACACGGCCCAGACUCCUACGGGAGGCAGCAGUGGGGAAUAUUGGACAAUGGGCGAAAGCCUGAUCCAGCCAUGCCGCGUGUGUGAAGAAGGCCUUUUGGUUGUAAGGCACUUUAAGCGAGGAGGAGGCUACUGAGAUUAAUACUCUUGGAUAGUGGACGUUACUCGCAGAAUAAGCACCGGCUAACUCUGUGCCAGCAGCCGCGGUAAUACAGAGGGUGCGAGCGUUAAUCGGAUUUACUGGGCGUAAAGCGUGCGUAGGCGGCUUUUUAAGUCGGAUGUGAAAUCCCUGAGCUUAACUUAGGAAUUGCAUUCGAUACUGGGAAGCUAGAGUAUGGGAGAGGAUGGUAGAAUUCCAGGUGUAGCGGUGAAAUGCGUAGAGAUCUGGAGGAAUACCGAUGGCGAAGGCAGCCAUCUGGCCUAAUACUGACGCUGAGGUACGAAAGCAUGGGGAGCAAACAGGAUUAGAUACCCUGGUAGUCCAUGCCGUAAACGAUGUCUACUAGCCGUUGGGGCCUUUGAGGCUUUAGUGGCGCAGCUAACGCGAUAAGUAGACCGCCUGGGGAGUACGGUCGCAAGACUAAAACUCAAAUGAAUUUGACGGGGGCUCGCACAAGCGGUGGAGCAUGUGGUUUAUUCGAUGCAACGCGAAGAACCUUACCUGGUCUUGACAUAGUAGACUUUCAGAGAUGGAUUGUGCUUCGGGACUUACAUACAGUGCUGCAUGCUGUCGUCAGCUCG